rnacentral:rRNA from 1 species
GUGAGGAAUAUUGCGCAAUGGAGGCAACUCUGACGCAGCCAUGCCGCGUCAGGAAGAAGGCGCUACGCGUUGUAAACUGCUUUUAACCGGGAAGAAACCCCAGGACGUGUCCUGGGUUGACGGUACCGGAGGAAUAAGCACCGGCUAACUUCGUGCCAGCAGCCGCGGUAAUACGAAGGGUGCAAGCGUUAUCCGGAUUCAUUGGGUUUAAAGGGUGCGUAGGCGGAGCGUUAAGUCAGUGGUGAAAUCCUGCAGCUUAACUGUAGACUUGCCAUUGAUACUGGCGCUCUUGAGUGCGCUUGAAGUGGGCGGAAUGUGCCGUGUAGCGGUGAAAUGCUUAGAUAUGGCACAGAACACCAAUUGCGAAGGCAGCUCACUAAGGCGAUACUGACGCUGAGGCACGAAAGCGUGGGGAUCGAACAGGAUUAGAAACCCUGGUAGUCC